GAAGGGAGACCUCUCGGUACCACGCCAUAUUUAACUAAAUCUUUUGAUGGUUUAUUGAUAUUAGUGAAAAAAUAUUGCAAAAAUGCAUACAACCAGAAUAAUUAAAUAAUAUGUUUUUAUUUUACAAAAGAAUACUUUGUUUUUAAAUUCAUGCUUAGUUUAAUAUUAUACAACGAUUUCUUGUGUUUUAUCGGUUAUUCUAACCCUCGUCAAGUGUAAUGCUCAGUUUACGUGGACUCCAAAACUUGAAUUUUCUCGUCGUACUGGGUGGACUCGUUUUGUGUCUUGUGUUUAUGGUUCAAAUCAAACAAAUCUACAAUAAUAAUCAAAAAUAUAACAGAUAUUUGAAUUACAAGCAAUAUAUGAACGAAAUAGGAAUAGAAUUGAAAGCAAUGGUAAAAUCCGCAAACAAAUCAUCAGCAUAUGUUCAUCAAUUAAAUAAGAUGCUUUCAAAGUAUCGAGAGAGAGAAUCCAAGAAUAUUUCUGUGGCAAGAGUUCCCGUAUCUUCUUAAAAACAUUGCAAGCAGAUAAAGGGAUAAUUUAACAUUGAGAAUAUAACACCAUCUGGUGCACAUAGCCAUGGAUCCUUUGUUACUUUUAGCCAAUUGGACAACCGUUCUUGAAGCUCAAAAAAUAUAUUCUGAA